AGUGGCUGGCGGGUUGAUUGAUUCUUGGUAAUUGAUCAAUUGAGACAUACUCAGAUGAUUUAAGCGGAAUUGAUAAUUCUCAUUGAAGUGGGGUAAAUCAAGCAGUGCUUGGCAACAAAUACGAUAAGUCACUAUAGAUGCCAAAAUGGUAAGUAACAACAACACCAUUGUUUAUUGAAACGAGAGAUAGGCUUGGGGGAACUAUCUCACACAAAACAAUGAGGAAGGUGGAUUGGGUAUUGGAGAAAAUGGAAGUGGAGAUGCGUUUGUGGGGGUAGAUCCAGGUGUUAGGAUGCAAGGUGAGGAAAAAUUGGUGCUUUCUGAUGUAGUUGUGGAAAAAGAAAAUCACUUAUUUGGGAAGACUUUUGUCAGUAAUGGAAGAUUCAAGAAGAGGGAAUUGGUUAAUGGUUAAUAAAAGACUAAAAGUAAGAAGGCAAGACAUGUUUCUGGAGUUAAAGAGGGUUAGGCAAGAGUUUAGAUCUGUUUUUUUUUUUUUUUUUUUUGUUUUGUUACAGACAAGGGUUGAAAUCUUUAGGAGCACUUUACC
rnacentral:lncRNA from 1 species